rnacentral:rRNA from 1 species
UGGGGAAUUUUGGACAAUGGGCGCAAGCCUGAUCCAGCCAUGCCGCGUGCGGGAAGAAGGCCUUCGGGUUGUAAACCGCUUUUGUCAGGGGAAGAAAUCUUCUGAGUUAAUACCUCGGGAGGAUGACGGUACCUGAAGAAUAAGCACCGGCUAACUACGUGCCAGCAGCCGCGGUAAUACGUAGGGUGCAAGCGUUAAUCGGAAUUACUGGGCGUAAAGCGUGCGCAGGCGGUUUUGUAAGACAGAGGUGAAAUCCCCGGGCUCAACCUGGGAACUGCCUUUGUGACUGCAAGGCUUGAGUGCGGCAGAGGGGGAUGGAAUUCCGCGUGUAGCAGUGAGAUCGUAGAUAUGCGGAGGAACACCGAUGGCGAAGGCAAUCCCCUGGGGCCUGCACUGACGCUCAUGCACGAAAGCGUGGGGAGCAAAACAGGAUUAGAUACCCUGGUAGUCCACGCCCUAAAACGAUGUCAACUGGUUGUUGGGAAGGUUCCCUUCUCAGUAACGUAGCUAACGCGUGAAGUUGACCGCCUGGGGAGUACGGCCGCAAGGUUG